rnacentral:rRNA from 1 species
GAAAAGGGCACAUGAAGGAUGCCUUGGCUCUCGGAGGCGAAGAAGGACGUGACAAGCUGCGAUAAGCCGUGCCCAGGGGCAAAUACCCGCCCAAGCACGGAUUUCCGAAUGGGGCAACCCGCCGCGGGCGACCGCGGCACCGCGCCAGGCGCGGGGCCAACCCGGGGAACUGAAACAUCUAAGUACCCGGAGGAAAAGAAAACAACAGUGAUUGCGCAAGUAGUGGCGAGCGAACGCGCACCAGCCCAAACCGGCCCUGUCACGGCAGGACCGGGGUUGAAGGACCGUCGCCGGCGCGACGAAGCGAGGUUAGCCGAACCGGCUGGAAAGCCGGGCCGCAGCGGGUGACAGCCCCGUAGGCGAAAACCUUGCCAGUCGCCAGACGGCACCUGAGUAGUGCGGGACACGAGAAAUCCUGCACGAAUCCGCGGGGACCAUCCCGCAAGGCUAAAUACUACCGAGAGACCGAUAGCGAACCAGUACCGUGAGGGAAAGGUGAAAAGAACCUCGAACAGAGGAGUGAAACAGACCCUGAAAUCAUGUGCCUACAAGCGGUCGGAGCGGCCAAGUGCCGUGACGGCGUGCCUUUUGCAUAAUGACCCUACGAGUUGCCCGUCCCGGCAAGGUUAAGGGCGAUCACGCCCGGAGCCGAAGCGAAAGCGAGUCAGAACAUGGCGUGUUAGUCAGGGCGGGCAGACGCGAAACCAAGUGAUCUACCCUUGGGCAGGUUGAAGGACAGGUAACACUGUCUGGAGGACCGAACCGGUAAGCGUUGAAAAGCUUUCGGAUGACCUGAGGGUAGGAGUGAAAGGCCAAUCAAACUUGGAGAUAGCUCGUACUCCCCGAAAUGCAUUUAGGUGCAGCCUCGGGCUUAGUACCGCGGAGGUAGAGCGACUGAUAGGAUGCGAGGGCUUCACCGCCUAUCAAGUCCUGACAAACUCCGAAUGCCGCGGCACGAUUCCCGGGAGUGAGGGCGCGGGUGCUAAGGUCCGCGUCCGAGAGAGGAACAACUCAGACCACCGGCCAAGGCCCCCAAAUACGGGCUAAGUUGAAGACCAUAACGAGGUGGGACCGCAGAGACAGCUAGGAUGUUGGCUUGGAAGCAGCCAUUCAUUUAAAGAGUGCGUAACAGCUCACUAGUCGAGUGGUCCCGCGUGGAUAAUAAUCGGGCAUAAGUCCGUUGCCGAAGCCGUGGAAUCCCGCACAGGCGGGAUUGGUAGGGGAGCAUUCCGGUAGCCGUCGAAGGCAUGGCGCGAGCCGUGCUGGAGGCCCCGGAAAAGCAAAUGUAGGGAUAAGUAACGACAAGGAGGGCGAGAAACCCUCCCGCCGUAAGACCAAGGGUUCCUGAUCAACGCUAAUCGGAUCAGGGUUAGUCGGGACCUAAGGCGGAGCCGCAAGGCGCAGCCGAUGGACAUAGGGUAAAAAAUCCCUAACCCUUGACAGAUGUGAUGCGGAGACGGAGAAGUGACACACCCGCGCACUGACGGAAUAGUGCGUUAAACCGCGUAGGUAUACCCGCCGGGGUAAGCAAACGGCGGGUGCUGAAACGGGACAGUACGGAGCGCCCCUCGGGGCAAUCCGACAGCGGUGGUAACCAUGCUCCCGAGAAAACCCGCUAAACCCCAGUCUGUCAAGGCCCGUACCGGAAACGGACACACGUGGUCGGGUAGAACAUACCAAGGCGCUCGAGAGAUUCACGGUUAAGGAACUAGGCAAACUGACCCCGUAACUUCGGGAUAAGGGGUCCCUCCCUCCGGGGAGGGCGCAGAGAAUAGGUCCAGGCAACUGUUUAACAAAAACACAGGGCUGUGCGAAAUUGAAAGACCAAGCAUACAGCCUGACACCUGCCCGGUGCCGGAAGGUUAAGAGGAGAUGUCAUCGCAAGAGAAGCAUUGAAUUGAAGCCCCGGUAAACGGCGGCCGUAACUAUAACGGUCCUAAGGUAGCGAAAUUCCUUGUCGGGUAAGUUCCGACCUGCACGAAUGGUGUAAUGAUCUGGACACUGUCUCAACCGUGAGCUCGGUGAAAUUGUAGUAUCGGUGAAGAUGCCGAUUACCCGCAACGGGACGGAAAGACCCCGUGAACCUUUACUGCAGCUUAGCACUGGGGCCGGGUGUGCGAUGUGUAGGAUAGUCAGGAGGCAGCGAAACGGGCACGCCAGUGUCCGGGGAGCCGACGUUGAAAUACUGACCUUCGCACAUUUGGCUUCUAACUCCCGGAGGGAGGACACUGCUUGGCGGGUAGUUUGACUGGGGUGGUCGCCUCCAAAAGAG